rnacentral:rRNA from 1 species
AGAUAUUAUCCCCUUGUAGUGUAGUUUAAUAGCUAUCUACAUAAUAACUUAAUAUAAAGUAUAAUAGUUUAUAUUUUAUAAUAUGACGUUAUCAAUUUUGUUUAAUAUUUGAAAAUGUUAGUAUUAGUAAUAUUAGUAUAUGUGCUAAAGGAACUCGGCAAAAAACCCCUCAACUGUUUAUCAAAAACAUAGCUAUAUGAAUUAAUGUAUAGUUAUUUCUGCUCAAUGACUUAAAUAGCCGCAGUACUCUGACUGUGCAAAGGUAGCAUAAUCAGUUGGCUUUUAAUUAGAGUCUGGUAUGAACGAAAAUAUGGGUAGUAACUGUCUUAGCACAUUUUUUCGAACUUAUUAAACAAGUGCAAAUGCUUGUAAUUUAACAAUAGACGAGAAGACCCUAGAAACUUGGACAAGUUUUUGUUGGGGCGACAGAAUUACACUUAACUAAUCUUAUAAUACACGACGCGAUGUUGAAAGAAUAAGUUACUCUAGGGAUAACAGCAUAAUUUUAUUAGUUUGUGACCUCGAUGUUGGACUAGGUACUAUACCCUUAAGGCAAGGAUAUAUUAUGCUCUGUUCGAGCAAAAUUACCUACAUGAUCUGAGUUCAGACCG